AAGAGAAGAGAAGAGAAAAAAGGGUAUAUUUUCCUUGCAACCUAAAAAUUCAGAAGUUCCCGGUAAAGGCCACGUUCAUGCCAAGGUAUUGUGGCUUGAUUUAAUUGACUGUCCCCCAACCCUGGGGUUUUCAUUGUCAUCCUCAUUAUUAGGAAGGGGGCUUAUUUACACCCAUCACAAAGGAGAGAAUGAGUGAAUCUAACGGUUCAGUGGUAGAUUUAUUGCUUUGAAAUGUCAAAAGUUCUCAUUCCCAUCCAGCCCUGACGCCACUGGAUCAUCAAACACCUGUAAGCAGAGGUGAUGUGACAGACUCUCGCUUACAUGUGGAUGAUCCCUGUGGGGGGAACCUGACAGCAAGCCCAGGUGAUUGAGUUGCCCGCAUGGGACAGCAGGUCGAGUCCGAGGUGCACAUUGUUCUGAAUAGGCUGAUUCUCACUUGCCAGAGGUGGCCCAAAGGAGCCAUCCUGGUGGACAGUCACCCCUGCUUAGGCCCAGCAGCAGCCAGCCUCUGACUCACACAUAGGGAUUCUCACAGUGCAGUGCAGGUGACAGGCACAGGUCACAGUUCUGUACCAAAAAGAAAGGGAACACUUUGCUUCUCCACUUUGCACAGGGUCAGGCUGGGGUUUUGAGGUAGCCAAGGUGGUGAUCAUUUUUGCCAAGGAGAGAGGUUGGCACCCAGGUCAGUGGGCUCCAAAAAGCAGAUGGCCCUCCUCAGGGUGGACUGGCAUCAUGCAAACCAUCGAGGGCUCAGAGAGAACAAGAAGGCAGAGGAAGGGCAAACUGGCUGUCUGUGCUUGAACUAGGUAUCCAUUCUCUCUUGCCCUUGGACAUCAGGACUGCUGGUUCUCUGGCCUCUGGACUUAGACUGGGAGCCUCUGGGUUCUCACUCUUCAGCCUCAGACUUGGAGAUACAUCAUCUGCUCCCUGGACUGUCCAGCUUUAGAAGAAUAUCCUGGAACUUCUUGGCCUCCAUGAUCUUGUGAGAUGGUUCCCAUAGCAAACCCCCUUUUAUGCAUCUCUAUUAUCUAAUGAAUUCUGUUUCUCAGAUGAACCCUGGUUAGUACAUUGUUGGGGGGAGGCAAAUUUUAAAUGAGCAAUUAUUUCUAAAUGUUCAAUUUUCUGGAGAUGAACAUGAGGUCCACAAUAACUCCUAGAUGGGCUAUUUUAACGUCUUUAUCUCUGAUGUGAAGAAAAGGGCUUGGUCUCAGAACCUGUGGCUUUGAGGGGUAUCGCCAGAGUCUUCUCUACUAUGAAAUGAAAACAAGACUAAUUUUCCCCUGAAGAACUUAAUGAGAUAAAAUAUCAGAAACUCCUGUGGUUUACCAUUUUUACUCAUCCCAGAGGUUUACCUUUCUCCUAUGAAGUCUCAGUUUUCCCACAUGUGAAAUGGAAACAAUAUGAUCUCUCCUACUUGUAGAAUAAAACAGAUAAAGAGUAUAAUUACUUUCUGUAGAUUGUCACUCCUGGCCACUGACUUGGUCACCAGGGUGAUGCUCCAAGAGGACCAACCUGAGGCAGGCCAGUAGGCAGUGAUGGAGAGUGUCCUUGAGGACCAGUCUUACCAUUAACAGGAAGCUAGAUACUCUGCUUCAUCCUAAAGCUGAUUCAUACUGCAAAGAUCCUCUGCUCAGAGCAGACUCUUGAGGGCCGUUAUGUUUGGUGUUUAUUCAAUUGUAGCUGAGGGGACUCUACUAAUGGCUCCCAGGGGCUCUUCUGCGUCAGGGAUUUUUUUUUCUUUCUUUUUCUUUUGACCUCUAAAGUCAGCUGAGGCUUGUUAAUAGUGUUGCUUUUCUUUUUUUAAGGAACAAAAAAAAUAAAGGAACAUAAUUUUUAAAAAUUCAAGUCAAAGUUUCUCCCCUUAAGACUUCCUGUUCAUAACUGAAGCCCUCUUCCUAAAAUUAGCGAAACGUUCUUUUGCCACAAAACAACAGUUCCUCAAAAAAAAAAAAAAGAACUAUUUCCUUUUUGGACAGGGAUUUAUGUAAGGGAAUAGGAUAGGAAAGCAGAGCGUCUCCCUCCAACUUCAGCAAAAACUUCCCAUUAGUUUAAAUUCUGUCUGUUUUUGGGAUUAUACCUCAGUCAAUUCAGGCCUGGGAUGUGGAGGUAAAAUCUUAGAUCAGUUGCAACCAGGUGCUUUAACUCGGUGAUUUUCAAACUUGAGUGUUCACCAGAAUCUUCUGGAAGCAUGAUUAAAAUAAAUAUUGUUGGGCCCUAGCCCCAGAGUUUGGUGCCUGAGAGUGUGCAGUUCUAACAAGUUUCUGAGUGACGUCAGUAAGGUGGUUCAGGGUCCUGGGUGCUCUCCAGGGGAGCUGUCCUCAGCCCAGGUGGGCCCAGGAGGUGCCUAAGGGUGGGUCUCUAGAAGCAGAGACUGAGAUGCGGAAUCUCAUGAGGGUGAAUCCUCUCUGGAGAAAGGGAACAGGGGAACAGGAUAAGGCAGAGAAAGCAAUGUAAGAAGGGAUAGGCCUCUGCUGGAGUUUAGCUUCAGCCCGGUCCCGUGGGGACAGGAAGAGCACGACUUACAUCACAGAUUUGCUCAUUUUCAGCUGGAUGUCCUUCAGGGUGAGGAGAGCAUGCCAUCCCCUUGGGCGAAGUGGUCAGAGCAACCCUCUGGAGAAGAGAGGAGCCGUGAGAGUCAUUAGCAGCCAGUACCUGCAAGAGAAUGGGUCAGGGCAUCGGCUACAGCCACUAUGGCAUGGGGACAGCAUGUGGAGAAUCACACACACACACACACACACACACACACACACAGAGACAUACACACGAUACCAAUCAAUAUUUCCACAUGGAUGUGGCUCACUUUGAGAGACCUCAUCUGGUCUCAAAGUCCCAGCCAUUCUGUGCUCCUUACUGAUUGCUUGAUUGAUGGAUGGAUGGAUGGAUUGAAUCCCAUCUGACUUUUGAUUCUCUCUCUUACCAAUGCUCACAUAAAAAUUCCUUUCCUUGAGUUCCUUCUGAUUAAAGAAACUUAAAGAGAGCAUAGAAUGUUCCUCCCUUGGAAGCUUUUAAAAGAUUUAAUAGAAAGGUAGAUAAAAUGCACAAAGCUAUUUUCUUUAUGCACAUAGAAUAUAAAAAUAUGUUUUUGAAAAAUCAAAUUUUAAAAGACGAUUUCUUGACAUAGGAACAUAGUACAUCCAACAUAUAAAAAUGAUACAGGACUGAGUGUGCAUACAGUAUUGUAUGUACCAAUAAACAUGUAUUGGUAAAUGAAUGAGGCUACAAGGAAAUAAUUGAAAAUGCUAACAAUGGUUAUCUCUUAAUGAGAGGCAGUUUUCAUACCAUUAUUUUAAUGUGAUUUUAUCUCCAUAGUUUAACAAUAAAUUUGUUUAUUUUUCAGAAAAUAAUAAAUUUCAGAGAUCUGAAAUUUACUUUUUCAAAAAUGUGGCUGAAAUAAAGAGCUAAAUGGAUAAAAUAAAUAAAUAAAAUUAAAAUAAAGAAGUAAAGAGAAAUAAAGGAUAAUGCUUUGGCGUGAAUUCCUCAAGGCAAGAAACUGGGAGAAGAAAGUUGAUUCUGAGCUGCGGGUGUGUGAGUCAGUGGUAAAAUUUGGUUAUGGUUUCUCUCUUUAGCUCAUUAUUAAAACUGAUCAGAGUAAAGUCAUCACCUUCUCUGGCAAGAGACUAUACAAUUAGUAAUAUCACCUCUGACCUUCCUUUUUGCCUCUGGCUAUGAAAUAGUCUCACAAAGACAACGGAGGCCCAGGCAGUGGCCUUAGAUGUCAAGGGCAACUGAACUCUUGAUUCAUCUUUUACACUUUCUGUCCCUUAUUUCUGCACCCCCGCGUGUCCCUCUUCCCUCAUCUCCCUCUCCAUUCCUUCGUCCCCUUCUAUGCCUUCACCUCUUUCUGAUCAUCUCUUGCCUGCUUUUCUUUCCCUCUCGAAAUGAAGGCUUGGUGACUGCCUCCCAAGGAGCCAGAAAAGCACUACGUUCAUCCUCUCCCUAAUUCAGCCUCUGGAUGCAUGGAGAGCAAUCAAGAACUAUUCCUAGAUUUGGGACCAGACGAGAAUCAAACUCUGAGUGUCAUGAGCAGAGCCAUCCACCGCAGCCUGACAGGAUGUGAUCACACAUGUCACCAGCCUGUGGCCACCUUCAGGAGAGGCUGAUACCUGCACAGCAAAUCUCAGAUCCACACACACCAUGCGUGGGUGCCUCCCCUGGGUAUAACCCAGGUCACCUGCAUCCUGCUCAUCUGGAUAUAUACAUGACAGACUUCAGGACCGGAGGAGCAAACAGUACUUAAAUAUAUCAUCCAGUAAUUUCCAUAGAAGGAACCUCCUUGGACUGAUGGCUUUCUAGAAGGAGACUGUGCCUGGCAAUGAAGGGAGCGAGAAAGUGAACAAGAGUUUAAAGAUGAACUAGGACGUCUUAGAUGUAGAAACUGAUAGUGUGAGCCUUGGGGGUGAUAAAUCUGGGCUGAAGGAUUCCUCUGCCAUUCGGGAGACAAGGGACCUCCAGGUGUCAUAAUGCAAGUGUGUGAGAAAGACGCUUGCCCAUUGUCAAACACAGCGGCUGGUCCAAAGUACCAACUGGGUUCACUCUACUCGUGCUUCCAUUUUCAUUCUGCCAUGUCUGUUUUGCAUGGAAAUGUGUUAUAUAAAUGCCAAAUGGGUCUUGGGCACAGAUUCUGUGCAGGGUCGACGAGGACAGAAAUAGACGUGAUCAUAGAAGGACCAGACCAGGGUCCAGUGCUGAAAGAUCAGUAAGUGGGGAUAAUGAUGAGUAUGUCACUCAAACUGAGCUCCUGAGUCCAAAUUCCAGCUCCUCCACUACGUUUGUAUGCACUCUUGGAUGGAUUGCUCUCAUCCAUCCUAUAAUAAUACUUACCUAGGUGGUGAUUGUAAUGGAUUUGAACCAUGUGCACAUGUGCGUGCCAUGAUGGAAGUCAAGUUUUUAAAGUAACGGCCCAUCAGAGACCAAUGCCACCUGGGGGCGAACUUCUUGAUCUCGGUGGAUUUCAUUCCUAGUGGGUCUUAUACAGGUUCUGGCUCUCAAGUUUGAGAAAUGAAGGUAUGUAAGGCAUGUCAACCUGGCCCCUUCACCCCCACCAUCCCAUGGGAAAGAGAUGUGUUAGGCCAGACACACAGGUCACCGGGUACAGACGCCCCCAGCCUUUGAAGCCCUGAGCCGAUGAGGAUUGAAAGGCUUGGCAUCCUGCUGGGCAACGGUUCAGCUCAAAGUUCACACUGCUGUACAUUUGAGAACUUCCUGACCAGCUGCCCUGGGUCACAGGGAACUGAACCUCUGCUUGUCUCCAGCCUUGACAUGGGACUGUGAGCAAAUUCUUGAAUUUACAAGACAGCAUCAAUGAGCUGAUUAUGUCAAAACAUUUGAAGACAAAGCAAAAUGGAACUUCAAAAGACUUGGGAAGGCCGGGAUCCCCUUUCAGAAGUCAGCAAGUUCAAUUGUUGAUAAAAUUCCUAGAUCGGGCUCACAUUUUGGCUUUGAAAUCUCAGCUCAGAGGGCAAAUGAGCUCCUUUAAUGUAUUUAAAAUUGGGGUAAGGCUUUCACCUCCUAACUCUUGCUGAAAAUGAUAUUCUCUUUUUCAUGGAGGGUUUCCUUUGGAGUGUGGUGUCUACAUUUACAAUGAAGCGCUCAUGUUGCUUUCACAAAUAUGUGCAUGUGUGUACGUAUACAUGUGUCUUUAUCAUCUAAAAUGGAAGGAAGGGGUAGAGAAUUGGGAGCCUUAAUGCAUCCUUUUUUAUUCUAUAGAAGAUGACAGGUUCCUUGGAUUUUGCUAAGGACAUACUUCUAGAAUUGCUUGGCAAUUCUAGAAUAAUUCUAGAAUCAUCUGAGAGGAGUUUUCAAAGAAGGAAAAGAUCUUGUGAACUGAGUUUUGGUAGGAGCACUUAAGGAAAUAUGACUCAAUCUAAAAUAUACUCUUUCUUCCUGACAGUUCUUUCAAAAAAAAUUUUUAAGUCAAAUUUUGUAUUUAUACAUAGAAAUAUGCAAUUCACUGUUCAGAGGUUGGGAUCCAGGCAGGACUCUGAAGUCAAACAAGCGACCUAUUAGCCUUUAAAA